AAUCCAAAACGGGCUCCAGGCUCUGAGCUGUCAGCACAGAGCCCGACGCGGGGCUCGAACUCUCGGACCGCGAGAUUGUGACCUGAGCUGAAGUCGGACGCUUAACCGACUGAGCCACCCAGGCGACCCGAGAACAGGGAUUCUUUAAGGCAGAAGAAGUGGCAAGUGAAGUUGAGAAAGCAGGUUAGGGCCAUUUAUUAAUUUACCAGAUACUUCUGGGUGCAUACCUUGUACCAGAUGCUGGCUUAGGUGCUUGUGAUACAUCUGAGCAAAUGAGACAAAGAUCCCUUCCUUGUGGAACAUUUAUACUUGAAUUACAUAGUAUGCUAGGUGGUAAGCAUUGUGGAAGACAGAGAAGUAGGUCAGUGGGAUAAAUGUGCAGAUGGGAUGGAGUUGUUUCUAAAGAGGAUAUCAGGAGAGGCUUCCCUGAGCAGCAUUUGCAUAAAAACAUAAAGAAAGUGAUGGAGUUAGAGAGUAGAAAUCUAAGGGAAGAACAUAGCUGGCAGAGGGAACAGCCAGGGCAAGUCCCUGAGUCCAGAGCCUGCCUGGCACAUAUGAAGGCCAUCACCGAGGCAGGUGUGGCUGGAGCAGAGUGACCACGGGGGAGAGGGCAGAGUCCAUGGAGAUCCUGGAGGUCAUGGUAAGGAUUUUGGCUUUUAAUCUUAGUUGAAAAGGAUGCUCUUAGAAGGUUUUUGAGAGGAGUGAUCCAGUCUAAGUUUGAAAAGGUUUACUUUAGCUACAGGGUUUGGGAAAGAUUAAGGGCCAUGAGGGGAGGCAGGGGUAGAAGCAAAGGUAGGUAUUUUGGAUUGGGGUAGGCUUUGCAUGAUAAUGAAAAAGAGAGCAUUAAAAAUUUAAAGGUGUAUGCUGUGUCAGUAGCAGCUAAGUUAAUUUAUUUUUGUAGAUUUUUGCUGUAUCCUCAAAUGCUAACAGCUAGAAUUGAGAAGAAUUUUUCUUUGCAUCUCAAUAUACUAAAGUAUUUGAGAGUUUAGAAAAUAUGAAUUUUUAAAUUGUAAAUAAAAAUAGAUCAUACAUCCUCAUGGUUCAGAACUCAAAAGGCACCAAAAAGGUAGGUGGUAAAAGUCUUCUUUCCACCCAGCCACCUCAGGACAACCCAUGUUACCAGUUUCCUGUGUAUCUCUCCUGAAGUAUUCUGUGAAAACCUGGAAAAUGCACUUAAGCUGUUUUUAAUAGCGCCUGGUUUGGUAAAAUCAAGGUUUUUAUAAGCCAGGAGAGAGGUGUUUGAGGUGUAUAUUUUGCCUUGCCAUUUUUGGAGUCACUAAUAAUUAAGUUAGUAUUUUUUUCUGUGUAUUUCCUCUGUAACAUAUUUUUGUAAAUAAACACAACAAACAAAACAAAAUUGACCAAGAAACACUGUAUUUUGGCCGGGGGGAGCUUUAGCUCAGUGUCUCUGUCUUUGGCAGAGCUUCCUCUGAGCUAUUCAAUAGAAGGUAUUAUCAUUAAAACCCCAAUUCACCAGGGUCUUCUACUAGAACUUUCUUCUUAAUGAGUACCUCUUUUGAAGAAAAUGUUUGUAUGUACAAAAUCCUUUGAUACUUUAAAUAGAGUUCCAGUAAAAAUCAGCAUGUGGUUUGAUGAUUAGGCAAAAAAAGUAUAUUUUUUUAAUGUUUAUUUGUUUUUGAAAGAGAAAGACCAUGAGUGGGGGAGGGGCACAGUGGGAGAGGGGGACUGAGGAUCCAAAGUAGGCUCUGUGCUGACUGCAGAGAGACCGAUUCAGGGCUUGAGCUUAUGAACUGAGAGAUCAUGGUCUGAGCAGAAGUCGGACACUUAACUGACUGAGCCACCUAGGCAAAACUGUUAAUAUCAGAGAAAGUUACUUCUAGAAAGAUAUUUAGUAAAUCAGUUUAAUGCCUUUUAGAAAGAUUUAUCAAGGUGUCUUCAAACAAAAUGUGAUUUCAGAAUAAUGUUGAAAUAGCCCAAACAUAGCCUUCAGACUUAAGAAGAAAAAGAAUUUCUUCCCACUAGUCUUCAGUCUUUUACAUUUCAUGCCAUUUUCUUUUGAGAUUCCUUUUGUAGAAAUGAAUGCAGCUCUCUCUUACAAGGGAGGGCUGAAGAGGGGGAAGCAGAGGUAAGAAUAGUUGUAACUGAUAAAUUAAUGCUUCCAAGCCUCCACCCCAGUGGUAUUUAGACUUUUUGUGUAGCCCCUACAAGAACAAAAAGUAAUGGGUAUUAUCUUGUUCAUUUAAGUUGACUUUUGAAACAUUUCAUAGUAAAUUAAAACAGUUACAAUGGAUUUAAUUCCUUGCUUUUCAUAUGUAUUUUAUUAUUUUAUGUGUAUUAGAAAGUGCAAGUAGGGGAGAGAGGUAGAGAAUCCUAAGCAAGUUCCAUGCUCAGCAUGAAGCCUGAUGUGGGGCUUGAUCCCAUGACCCUGGGAUCGUGACCUGAGUCAAAAUCAAGAGUCAGACGCUCAACUGACUGAGCCACCCAGGUGCCCCUAUGAUUGUAUAUUUUUGUUAAAACCUUAAAACUAUAUUUUUUCUUGUAUAAUUCAUAGAAAAUGUUUAUCGCAUAACCUAUUUGGAAACACCAGUCCUUAUUGUGAAGCUAAAUAGGCAAAAUCAACCUUAAUUUCUGUCAGAAAAAGCUCAGUGCCAUUUUUCUGCUCAAGCAAUUGUUACAUAAACACUUUUACCCCUCUUGCCUUUUUUUUUAAUUUUAUGACUUUAUUUGACAACCAGUGCUUAUUUCUCAUCGAUAUUGACUGUAGAUUAAAAAAAAAUUUUUUUUUUUAAUGUUUAUUUAUUUUUGAGACAAUGUGAGACACAGAGUGCAAGCAGCGGAGGGACAGACAGAGGGAGACACAGAAUCCGAAGUGGGCUCCAGGCUCUGAGCUGUCAGCCCAGAGCCCGACGUGGGGCUCAGACUCAUGAACCAUGAGCUCAUGACCAGAGCUGAAGUCGGAUGCUCAACUGACUGAGCCACUCAGGCUCCCCUGACUAUAGAUUUUUGAAAGUGGUGACAGGUCCAUAGAUAACCAAUGUAUUAAAGCUUGUUUGGUGAAUCUUCAUCCUAAUGUUUUCUGGACAACCACACAUGGGUAUGCCCUGGGCCAUUCCUCAUUCCUUUGACUCAGACAGCUUUGUGGAGCUGUGCACAUCUGGACUUCCCGUCUCUUCAUGGCAAAUUUCCAGACUUUUGGCAUGCUUCUUGAAGCCUACUCCAUGGGUGUGCUUUUAAGUGCUGACAUUGUAUUAUCUGGUCACUACCUUGUUGAUGGCAGAAAGGCCCUUCUCACCAUCCUUCUUUGUAGGAGCCAUUCUGUCAGGCCCAGGCUGGGAAGCUGUCUCCCUUCUGGAUUGAAAUUAUUAAAUGGAUAGAUCGAUGAAGCUUGUAGCUGUGCCAGGAGUUUGUUACCGAGUUGAAAUAAAGUACAACUCAAGGUAGACAGAAGCCAGGAGUGCAUUGAAGGAAAAUCUUUCGUCAAGGAAAUUGAGAGUGGGAACAAUUCUUCCAUUGGUGGUAACACUGGCCUCUGAGUCUGCCAUCCAGAGAGCAGCUGCUGGAGGUGGCCCAUAGACCUGGCCACAGCAAGGUCAGUGGUGGUGGAGACCUGCUUGGAGGGACACAUCUGAGUCCUUUUCCCUUGCUGUGGUGGCCACAAGAGACACAUGCGGGGUGGGGGAGCUGGGCUAUCAUGAGCAGCCCUGAGAGCCUUUGGAUAUUUCUGGAGGGGAGCCCUGGGAAAGGAUGGAGCAAAUUUAUAGCUUUACUCUGGAGUAAAAGGAUCUGGGGUCUGGGGCCAUACUGAUUACACAUCUCUGGGCUGACCAUCUGAAAUUUAUAAUGUAGUCCAGACCUUGCUUCUGAGUGCCUACCUUAUAUUUCCUGCUAUGUAUUGGACACUCUGAUUCCUCUUCUUCGUGGCUUAGACCUGAUCCUGCUUCCGAGUCCCCCAGCUCAAUAUAUGGUACCUCUCAGCUCAGUUACCCAAGGCAGAAACUUUGGAUUACCUUAUUGCUUCCCUUUUUUGCCUUUGCCAUUUCUGAUCAACCAGUGAGUUUUAGUAAUUCUUCCUAUGUAAUUGGUAUGAACUCUCCACUUUAUUUUAUUUUAUUUUUAAGUUUUUUUAUGUUGAGAGAGAGAGGGCACAUGAGUCGGGGGAGGGGCAGAGAUAGAUGGAGAGAGAAUCCUAAGCAGGCUCUGCAUAGUCAGCACAGACCCUGACUUGGGGCUCAAUCUCAUGAGCUGUGAGAUCAUGACCUGAACUGAAACCAAAGUUGGGUGCUUAACUGACUGAGCCACCCAGGCACCCCACUACUUUUAUUUUUUUUUACUUUCACUGCCAGUACUCCGUUCAUUCCUACCUUCCCUGAAUUCAUUCUUACCAUAAAACUCUUUUCCUAUACUCACAACACUUCUGAUACUGAAUAUGUGGGUAGUUUUUGCAACACCAUGACCAAUUCUAAUGCCAACUGGGUGUCCUACAAUUCAUUUAUAUUCUAACACUAUCUAUCUGGAGUUAGUAUCAGAUCCCAUAGGUUAAGCAGCCAGUCCAGUCCCACAAGACUGCUACCGAUUCAGAUGCCAGUGAAAAAUCCAGAUACUCCUAUACUCUGACCUACUGGCUAUAAAUUGGGGGUUCCCAUGACCCACUCCUCAAGUUCAAUAAUCUGCAAGAACACAAGAAAACACUUUACUUACUAUUACUGGUCUAAUAUAAAGAAUACUCAGGAACAGCCAAGUGGAGGAGAUGCUUAGGGCAAGGUAUGUGGGAAGAGACAUGGAGUUUCAAUGCCCUCUGUAGGUGUACUACCCUCCCAGUACUUCAGUGUGUUCACCAACCCAGAAGCUUGCCCAACCCCAUUGUGUAGGAUUUUUAUGGAGAUUGCAAUUCAUAGGCAUGAUUGGAUAAGUCAUUGGUUAUUCGUGAUUAAACUCAAUCUCUAGCCCCCCUUCUCUCCCUGGAGGUGAAGAGGUGGGGUGGGCCUGAAAGUUCCAACACUCUAAUCACAUGGUUGUUUCCUCCAACCCCAUCCUGUGACUAUUUAAGUUUCCAUCAA